GCCUGGGUGGCGGAAUUGGUAGACGCAAGGGACUUAAAAUCCCUCGCCCUUACGGGCGUGCCGGUUCGAUUCCGGCUCCAGGCA
rnacentral:tRNA from 1 species